AUUGAACGCUGGCGGCAGGCCUAACACAUGCAAGUCGAGCGGAUGAAGGGAGCUUGCUCCUGGAUUCAGCGGCGGACGGGUGAGUAAUGCCUAGGAAUCUGCCUGUCAGUGGGUGAUAACGUCCGGAAACGGGCGCUAAUACCGCAUACGUCCUGAGGGAGAAAGGGGGGGAUCUUCGGACCUCACGCUAUCAGAUGAGCCUAGGUCGGAUUAGCUAGUUGGUGGGGUAAAGGCCUACCAAGGCGACGAUCCGUAACUGGUCUGAGAGGAUGAUCAGUCACACUGGAACUGAGACACGGUCCAGACUCCUACGGGAGGCAGCAGUGGGGAAUAUUGGACAAUGGGCGAAAGCCUGAUCCAGCCAUGCCGCGUGUGUGAAGAAGGUCUUCGGAUUGUAAAGCACUUUAAGUUGGGAGGAAGGGCAGUAAGUUAAUACCUUGCUGUUUUGACGUUACCAACAGAAUAAGCACCGGCUAACUUCGUG
rnacentral:rRNA from 1 species